ensembl:snoRNA U8 U8 small nucleolar RNA
UCAUCAGGUAGAAUAAUCCUUACCUGUAUCUCUAUUCAGAGGGCAGAUAGAACAUGAUGUUUGGAGUUGUAUGAUUUGUGAGUAAUGUCUCUGUAUGAUUAGAGCUCGAAAUACCCUAAUUGCUCCUAAUUUUU